rnacentral:tRNA from 1 species
AGGGCUAUAGCUCAGUUAGGUAGAGCACCUCGUUUACUUUGAAAGAGUUCGAAUCAUUUUUGAUAAGAAUCAGUUCGAUCUGUUUUACCGAGAAGGUCUACGGUUCGAGUCCGUAUAGCCCUA